rnacentral:snRNA from 1 species
AUCACUUCUCAGAUUUUGGGCUAAGAUCAAGUAUAAUAUCUGUUCUUAACAGUUGAAGAUGCCAAUAUGUAAUUAAAUUUCAUCUAUUUACUGAUAUAAAUUUUCACUGGAAUAGGGCCCUAUCCCAUGAAGAUUAUGUUCUAGGGUAGAAAUACUAACAGUGAACAAGUGUGU